AUAGCCAUGACGUGCGCACGUCGUAGCUAACCAAUUGUAAUACGCAUCAGAUCAGCCAGUGAUUAUCAAAAAAUGGAAAUACUACGUGAUUUGUUUGAAAAGGGUUUGAAAAACUGGGAAAUUAAGCAUGUAUUGAGAAUGGACUAUGGUGUUCAAAUAAGUAUUCGCCAUAUGAAAACAAAAUUAAUUGAAUUAGGACUGAAAAGAAGACAGUAUUCAAACAUGGCUAGCGUAACUCAUUUUAUACAAAACGAACUUCUUCAAUCCGGUCAACUGCAUGGACAUCGUAUGAUGGCCGCCAGAUGUAAAGAACGUGGUUUAAAUGUACGAAUGGAAGAUGUGCGUAUCAUUUUAUUACACUUGGACCUAGUAGGCGUGUCUCUGAGGAGAUCAAGAAGUAUCCGCAGGCGUGCAUAUUAUGCUGCUGGUCCAAACUUCAUUUUGCACUUUGAUGGCUACGAUAAACUAAAGCCGUUUGGACUCUGUAUAAGCGGGUGCAUAUGUGGCUUCUCCAGACGUUUGAUUUAGCUGAAUGAGUAUCAUACAAAUAAUAACCCCAGGGUAAUCGGUGGGUACUAUCUCGAGGCUGUAAAAAUACAUGGUGGAUGUCCUCGUUUUGUUCGCGAAGAUUACGGGACAGAGAAUGGGCACGGCCGAAAUUUUCAAACAUUCAGACGCGAUUCUCCUGACCAUGAUAGAGCUUAUAUAGAUGGAGCCAGUACAGCAAAUCAAAGAAUCGAAAGUUGGUGGGGUUACCUGAGACGACACCAUAUGCAAUACUGGAUCGAACAGUUAAGAGACCUACAGGAUAUUGGCAGUUUCAGUGGAGACUUUCUGGACAGAAGCUUAGUCCAGUUUUGUUUCCUUGCAUUAAUUCAGGACGAACUUGACCUGGCCUUUCAAAUGUGGAACAAUCACCACAUUAGACGUGCGUCUAAUAGUAACGUGCCAUUUGGUCGACCAGAACAAAUGUACCGCUUUCCGCCAUUGUGGAGUGCAAAGAAUCACAUUGUAGCGAUUACGAAGAUUGAUAUGGCAGCAUGUUGCAGAGAAUCAGAAUUCAGAUAAGUAAUUCCUUGCGAUGAAGAUGUUUAUAAAGUGUGCGUGGCUCUCAUGAAAGAACACAAUCUUUCACCCGCAAAGACCUGCGUUGAGGCUACAGAUUUAUAUUUGUUUAUGAAACGAGAAAUAAUGUCGAUGCUAUGAAAGCCACGCACACUUUAUAAUUAUACAUCUUCAUCGUAAGGGACACCGUUGUUACAUCAUUUCCUCUGAAAAUGAUUGGUUGACUUCAAACAAACAAGGCAAACGCGUUCGACAAGUGCCUAAGUUGACUCUGGCUGAAAAUCAGGUCCGAUGCGUCUAGUUCAAUAUCAAAAUGAUCCAUACAUAAUUCUGCAAAUAUUGACCUCAUACAAAUGCCUGUGUACAUACGUGUCCUCGUCCUAUCACAUCAACUUGAGGGUACUAUGUAAAAGAUCAUGGCAAGUAGAAGUUCUUGUAGAAAACAUUUACUUUUCCCAUUAAACAUGAGUGCUUCUACCAAUAACCUCAAACUUUGAUAUGUUCAUGUAUUAAGAUAGCCUCUACACCACUUUAAGGUCACCAUGUCAAAGGUCAACAUUAACCAUUGUCAUAAACAAGUGCUUCCUCCAAACCGCCUCAAUAUUUCACAUGUAUAUGUACAUUGGUUCUGUAUUCACAUUGUCAUAAAAUGAAAGUAUUUGAGUAGUGUAUUACGUAUUUUGCAAACGUUUCUUGUUCAUUUAUGUACCAUCUGUGUUGUUUUUCAAAUAAAAUAUGUGAAAGUAA